rnacentral:rRNA from 1 species
GCAUCACUGGUGUUCGGGUUGUCAUGCCAAUGGCACUGCCCGGUAGCUAAAUGCGGAAGAGAUAAGUGCUGAAAGCAUCUAAGCACGAAACUUGCCCCGAGAUGAGUUCUCCCUGAGACUUAGAGUCUCCUGAAGGAACGUUGAAGACGACGACGUUGAUAGGCCGGGUGUGUAAGCGCAGCGAUGCGUUGAGCUAACCGGUACUAAUGAACCGUGAGGCUUAACCUUACAACGCCGAAGCUGUU